AACGAACGCUGGCGGCAGGCUUAACACAUGCAAGUCGAGCGCCCCGCAAGGGGAGCGGCAGACGGGUGAGUAACGCGUGGGAACGUACCUUUUGGUUCGGAACAACUCCGGGAAACUGGAGCUAAUACCGGAUAAGCCCUAACGGGGAAAGAUUUAUCGCCGAAAGAUCGGCCCGCGUCUGAUUAGCUAGUUGGUGAGGUAACGGCUCACCAAGGCGACGAUCAGUAGCUGGUCUGAGAGGAUGAUCAGCCACACUGGGACUGAGACACGGCCCAGACUCCUGCGGGAGGCAGCAGUGGGAAUAUUGGACAAUGGGCGCAAGCCUGAUCCAGCCAUGCCGCGUGAGUGAUGAAGGCCUUAGGGUUGUAAAGCUCUUUUGUCCGGGAAGAUAAUGACUGUACCGGAAGAAUAAGCCCCGGCUAACUUCGUG
rnacentral:rRNA from 1 species